rnacentral:misc_RNA from 1 species
GGACUACCAGGGUUUCUAAUCCCAUUUGCUACCCUGGCUUUCGUUCCUCAGCGUCAAUUACGGCCCAGUAAAGCGCUUACGCCACCGAUGUUCCUCCUGAUAUCUAAGCAUUUCACCGCUACACCAGGAAUUCCCUUUACCUCUACCGCAUUCUAGCUCGCAAGUAUCCAGUGCCGUACAGAAGUUGAGCCUCUGCCUUUAACACCAGACUUUACGUGCCGCCUACGAACUCUUUACGCCCAAUGAUUCCGGACAACGCUUGCACCCCCCGUAUUACCGCGGCUGCUGGCAC